rnacentral:rRNA from 1 species
GGAUGAACGCUGGCGGCGUGCUUAACACAUGCAAGUCGAACGGUGAAGCAGAGCUUGCUCUGUGGAUCAGUGGCGAACGGGUGAGUNACACGUGAGCCACCUGCCCCUGACUCUGGGAUAAGCGCUGGAAACGGCGUCUAAUACUGGAUAUGAGCUGCGACCGCAUGGUCAGCAGUUGGAAAGAUUUUUCGGUCUGGGAUGGGCUCACGGCCUAUCAGCUUGUUGGUGAGGUAAUGGCUCACCAAGGCGUCGACGGGUAGCCGGCCUGAGAGGGUGACCGGCCACACUGGGACUGAGACACGGCCCAGACUCCUACGGGAGGCAGCAGUGGGGAAUAUUGCACAAUGGGCGAAAGCCUGAUGCAGCAACGCCGCGUGAGGGAUGACGGCCUUCGGGUUGUAAACCUCUUUUAGCAGGGAAGAAGCGAAAGUGACGGUACCUGCAGAAAAAGCGCCGGCUAACUACGUGCCAGCAGCCGCGGUAAUACGUAGGGCGCAAGCGUUAUCCGGAAUUAUUGGGCGUAAAGAGCUCGUAGGCGGUUUGUCGCGUCUGCUGUGAAAUCCCGAGGCUCAACCUCGGGUCUGCAGUGGGUACGGGCAGACUAGAGUGCGGUAGGGGAGAUUGGAAUUCCUGGUGUAGCGGUGGAAUGCGCAGAUAUCAGGAGGAACACCGAUGGCGAAGGCAGAUCUCUGGGCCGUUACUGACGCUGAGGAGCGAAAGGGUGGGGAGCAAACAGGCUUAGAUACCCUGGUAGUCCACCCCGUAAACGUUGGGAACUAGUUGUGGGGUCCAUUCCACGGAUUCCGUGACGCAACUAACGCAUUAAGUUCCCCGCCUGGGGAGUACGGCCGCAAGGCUAAAACUCAAAGGAAUUGACGGGGACCCGCACAAGCGGCGGAGCAUGCGGAUUAAUUCGAUGCAACGCGAAGAACCUUACCAAGGCUUGACAUAUACGAGAACGGGCCAGAAAUGGUCAACUCUUUGGACACUCGUAAACAGGUGGUGCAUGGUUGUCGUCAGCUCGUGUCGUGAGAUGUUGGGUUAAGUCCCGCAACGAGCGCAACCCUCGUUCUAUGUUGCCAGCACGUAAUGGUGGGAACUCAUGGGAUACUGCCGGGGUCAACUCGGAGGAAGGUGGGGAUGACGUCAAAUCAUCAUGCCCCUUAUGUCUUGGGCUUCACGCAUGCUACAAUGGCCGGUACAAAGGGCUGCAAUACCGCGAGGUGGAGCGAAUCCCAAAAAGCCGGUCCCAGUUCGGAUUGAGGUCUGCAACUCGACCUCAUGAAGUCGGAGUCGCUAGUAAUCGCAGAUCAGCAACGCUGCGGUGAAUACGUUCCC